rnacentral:rRNA from 1 species
AUACGUAGGGGGCAAGCGUUGUCCGGAAUUAUUGGGCGUAAAGAGCGCGCAGGCGGGUCUGUCAGUCUACCGUGAAAGCUUACGGCUCAACCGUAACGGGUCGGUGGAUACUGCAGAUCUUGAGGGCAGGAGAGGAAAGUGGAAUUCCCAGUGUAGCGGUGAAAUGCGUAGAUAUUGGGAGGAACACCAGUGGCGAAGGCGACUUUCUGGACUGUUACUGACGCUGAGGCGCGAAAGCUGGGGGAGUGAACGG